rnacentral:tRNA from 1 species
UUAAUAGCUUAUAUAAGAGCUUGAUAUUGAAGAUAUCACGGAAGUAAAUUUACUUUAGAAUAUUUAU